ACGAAUUGGUGUGUGUGGCUCACACUUUAUACACAGAAUCCAGAACGUGCUGAACAGAAGGCUAAACUUGUAAUACAAGCUCAUAUUAUUGCAAAUUGAUCGAAUGAACUACGGAUAUGGUUCAUGUUUUUAAAUAAAUUUUAAUUCAUCAUUCUCUUUAUAA